rfam:Ixodes scapularis strain Wikel colony gcontig_1108378629724, whole genome shotgun sequence.
CAAACGGGUUUAUUAAAAACCACUCAAAUACACAAAAAAAUCAUAG